rnacentral:lncRNA from 1 species
CUCGAUCUAUUCGCGACGCGAACGCCGCCGCCUGGCAGAUCCCAGGCGCUAGCCGUGGAUCCCUUUGCCGGCUCCGAGGGGUCGUGGAGGCGCCGCCGCCGAGGUCCUAAAGGAGGUGCCGCCGCCAUCGUUGUGGACCUCCGGGUCGCCACCGGGACACCUCUGCUGAGGUACGCCUUCGCCUUCGCACGCCGCCUACCUCUCCUAUCGCGAUCCCCUCGAUCCCCAUUUGCCGCCAUCGUACGCACCUCGAUCCCCUCGAACGCCCGCGCACAGCCGCCCUCUCCCGUCUCCCCCACACAUAGCUGCUCUCUUCCCCGCCAGUGCUGCCCUCUUCCCCGCCCUCAAGCGGGGAUGCCCCAGAUCGAGUCUCGCAAGUCAGCGGGGCAGCGGCCAGAUCUGCCUCGGCCACAUCUCGUCCAGAUGGAUGGCUCUAGGAGAGGUAGAUCAAGGGGACAGGUACCGUGUGGGUCUUCUCUUUCGGGACGCCGCUCCGACCCGAUCCGGUGAGGAGGCAACCUCUGUGUGCGGCAACGAGGGCGGCGGCCGGCUGCGUGAGAGGUCGAUCUGGUCGUGCCUCAUUGAUGGGAUCGGGAUGCCCACCGCCGACGGCGCUGCCUUGCUACCAAAGGGGCACCCUGCCGCGGCCAGGGACUCGCUACCGUCGAAGCACGACACCUCACCGCCACGUAUGUUGCGUGUUGUUGUGCUGCAGGUCCUUGGGGUUGGGUGCGGCAACUCGCGACUCGAAGAUGAUCUUUUCUGGUAGGGCGUCGCCGGCGGCGGCGGCACCUGCAUAGACCGUCUCGGUGCAACAGAAGAGUUCGGAGUUCACUCCCCGAGAGAACAGCUCUGCAUGUACAUUUGUUGAAAGACUGAUCUGCUGAACUUUCGAUGAUUUCGAUUUGUCUCUGACAUAACCUUUCCUCUUUUCGUUGAUACGUCCGAAAGAGAUCCUUAUUUCACCUUUUGUUUAUAGGUAUUCAACGUGAGGAAUUUCAUACUUUUGGAGUGGAGGAGUAAAUUGCACAAAAGUACCACAAUUGGGGCAUUGGAAACAGAUUGGUACCAAGUUUCGUAAUUUUUACAUGUCAGUACCAAGUCUGGGACUAGACGGUACAAAAAGGUCUAAAUCGCGUAUAAACGCGUAUUGACAGUGUAUCUGACCGGCAGGGCCCGCCUGUCAGCUACUGACGUGGCAUUUUUUUGCAGAAACCCCCCGCACGGUGGCGCCCGGUCUGGAUCGAGGGGAGGAUCCCUCGAGCCCGAGCUCCCACUCGCAUCACCGCGGCCCCCGCUUGCGCCGGAGCUGCCCCUGCUCGCACCGCCGCGGCAUCUGCUCAUGCCGUCGUGGCCUCUACUCGCGCCUUCCCUCUCCGCCGCGGCCUCUCCUCGCGUCGUGGCCUCUCCCCCCUCCGCGGCGGCGCCCGAUCUGGAUCGAGGGGAGGAGCCCCUCGAGCCCGUGCUCCUUCGCCUCCCGUAACCCCCGCCCCGCCCUGGCCUCCNN